rnacentral:rRNA from 1 species
UACGAGGGGGGCGAGCGUUGUUCGGAAUUAUUGGGCGUAAAGGGUGCGUAGGCGGUUUGGUAAGUCUUAUGUGAAAUCUACAGGCUCAACUUGUAGUCUGCAUGAGAAACUGCCGGGCUUGAGUAUGGGAGAGGUGAGUGGAAUUCCUGGUGUAGCGGUGAAAUGCGUAGAUAUCAGGAAGAACACCCGUGGCUAAGGCGGCUCUCUAGUACGGUACUGACGCUGAGACGCGAAAGCGUGGGGAGCGAACAGG